UACAGAGGUCUCAAGCGUUGUUCGGAUUCAUUGGGCGUAAAGGGUGCGUAGGCGGCGCGGUAAGUCGAACGUGAAAUCUCGGAGCUCAACUCCGAAACUGCGUUCGAUACUGGGUAGCUAGAGUCUAGUAGGGGGAUCUGGAAUUCCUGGUGUAGCGGUGGAAUGCGCAGAUAUCAGGAGGAACACCGGUGGCGAAGGCGGGAUCCUGGGCCAGUACUGACGCUGAGGAGCGAAAGCGUGGGGAGCAAACAGG
rnacentral:rRNA from 1 species